rnacentral:rRNA from 1 species
CUGCGAAAAGCGCCGGCGAGGUGAUAUGAACCUUUGACCCGGCGAUGUCCGAAUGGGGAAACCCAGUGCAAUCCGUUGCACUAUCGUUAACUGAAUACAUAGGUUAACGAGGCGAACCGGGGGAACUGAAACAUCUAAGUACCCCGAGGAAAAGAAAUCAACCGAGAUUCCCCCAGUAGCGGCGAGCGAACGGGGAGCAGCCCGGAGUCUGAAUCAGCUUGUGUGUUAGUGGAACGGUCUGGAAAGUCCGACGGUACAGGGUGAUAGUCCCGUACACGAAAGCACACAUGCUGUGAACUCGAAGAGUAGGGCGGGACACGUGGUAUCCUGUCUGAAUAUGGGGGGACCAUCCUCCAAGGCUAAAUACUCCUGACUGACCGAUAGUGAACCAGUACCGUGAGGGAAAGGCGAAAAGAACCCCGGCGAGGGGAGUGAAAAAGAACCUGAAACCGUGUACGUACAAGCAGUGGGAGCCUCUUUAUGGGGUGACUGCGUACCUUUUGUAUAAUGGGUCAGCGACUUAUAUUCUGUAGCAAGGUUAACCGUAUAGGGGAGCCGAAGGGAAACCGAGUCUUAACUGGGCGUUAAGUUGCAGGGUAUAGACCCGAAACCCGGUGAUCUAGCCAUGGGCAGGUUGAAGGUUGGGUAACACUAACUGGAGGACCGAACCGACUAAUGUUGAAAAAUUAGCGGAUGACCUGUGGCUGGGGGUGAAAGGCCAAUCAAACCGGGAGAUAGCUGGUUCUCCCCGAAAGCUAUUUAGGUAGCGCCUCGUGAACUCAUCUUCGGGGGUAGAGCACUGUUUCGGCUAGGGGGCCAUCCCGGCUUACCAACCCGAUGCAAACUACGAAUACCGAAGAAUGUUAUCACGGGAGACACACGGCGGGUGCUAACGUCCGUCGUGAAGAGGGAAACAACCCAGACCGCCAGCUAAGGUCCCAAAGUCAUGGUUAAGUGGGAAACGAUGUGGGAAGGCACAGACAGCCAGGAUGUUGGCUUAGAAGCAGCCAUCAUUUAAAGAAAGCGUAAUAGCUCACUGGUCGAGUCGGCCUGCGCGGAAGAUGUAACGGGGCUAAACCAUGCACCGAAGCUGCGGCAGCGACACUAUGUGUUGUUGGGUAGGGGAGCGUUCUGUAAGCCGUUGAAGGUGUCCUGUGAGGGGUGCUGGAGGUAUCAGAAGUGCGAAUGCUGACAUAAGUAACGAUAAAGCGGGUGAAAAGCCCGCUCGCCGGAAGACCAAGGGUUCCUGUCCAACGUUAAUCGGGGCAGGGUGAGUCGACCCCUAAGGCGAGGCCGAAAGGCGUAGUCGAUGGGAAACAGGUUAAUAUUCCUGUACUUGGUGUUACUGCGAAGGGGGGACGGAGAAGGCUAUGUCAGCCGGGCGACGGUUGUCCCGGUUUAAGCAUGUAGGCGGAGGUUCCAGGUAAAUCCGGUACCUUAUUAACGCUGAGGUGUGAUGACGAGGCACUACGGUGCUGAAGUGAUAAAUGCCCUGCUUCCAGGAAAAGCCUCUAAGCAUCAGGUAACACGAAAUCGUACCCCAAACCGACACAGGUGGUCAGGUAGAGAAUACCAAGGCGCUUGAGAGAACUCGGGUGAAGGAACUAGGCAAAAUGGUGCCGUAACUUCGGGAGAAGGCACGCUGAUGUGUAGGUGAAGUCCCUGCGGACGGAGCUGAAAUCAGUCGAAGAUACCAGCUGGCUGCAACUGUUUAUUAAAAACACAGCACUGUGCAAACACGAAAGUGGACGUAUACGGUGUGACGCCUGCCCGGUGCCGGAAGGUUAAUUGAUGGGGUUAGCGGCAACGCGAAGCUCUUGAUCGAAGCCCCGGUAAACGGCGGCCGUAACUAUAACGGUCCUAAGGUAGCGAAAUUCCUUGUCGGGUAAGUUCCGACCUGCACGAAUGGCGUAAUGAUGGCCAGGCUGUCUCCACCCGAGACUCAGUGAAAUUGAACUCGCUGUGAAGAUGCAGUGUACCCGCGGCAAGACGGAAAGACCCCGUGAACCUUUACUAUAGCUUGACACUGAACACUGGUCCUUGAUGUGUAGGAUAGGUGGGAGGCUUUGAAGCGUGGACGCCAGUCUGCGUGGAGCCAACCUUGAAAUACCACCCUUUAAUGGCUGGUGUUCUAACGUAGACCCGUAAUCCGGGUUGCGGACAGUGUCUGGUGGGUAGUUUGACUGGGGCGGUCUCCUCCCAAAGAGUAACGGAGGAGCACGAAGGUUGGCUAAUCCUGGUCGGACAUCAGGAGGUUAGUGCAAUGGCAUAAGCCAGCUUGACUGCGAGCGUGACGGCGCGAGCAGGUGCGAAAGCAGGUCAUAGUGAUCCGGUGGUUCUGAAUGGAAGGGCCAUCGCUCAACGGAUAAAAGGUACUCCGGGGAUAACAGGCUGAUACCGCCCAAGAGUUCAUAUCGACGGCGGUGUUUGGCACCUCGAUGUCGGCUCAUCACAUCCUGGGGCUGAAGUAGGUCCCAAGGGUAUGGCUGUUCGCCAUUUAAAGUGGUACGCGAGCUGGGUUUAGAACGUCGUGAGACAGUUCGGUCCCUAUCUGCCGUGGGCGCUGGAGAAUUGAGGGGGGCUGCUCCUAGUACGAGAGGACCGGAGUGGACGCAUCACUGGUGUUCGGGUUGUCAUGCCAAUGGCACUGCCCGGUAGCUAAAUGCGGAAAAGAUAAGUGCUGAAAGCAUCUAAGCACGAAACUUGCCCCGAGAUGAGUUCUCCCUGAGACCUUGAGUCUCCUGAAGGAACGUUGAAGACGACGACGUUGAUAGGUCGGGUGUGUAAGCGCAGCGAUGCGUUGAGCUAACCGAUACUAAUGAACCGUGAGGCUUAACCUU